CCUACGGGAGGCUGCAGUGAGGAAUAUUGGUCAAUGGUCGGGAGACUGAACCAGCCAAGCCGCGUGAGGGAUGAAGGUACAGAGUAUCGUAAACCUCUUUUGUCAGGGAACAAAGGCGGGGACGUGUCCCCGGCUGAGUGUACCUGAAGAAAAAGCAUCGGCUAACUCCGUGCCAGCAGCCGCGGUAAUACGGAGGAUGCGAGCGUUAUCCGGAUUUAUUGGGUUUAAAGGGUGCGCUGGCGGUCUGUUAAGUCAGCGGUCAAAGCCCGGGGCUCAACCCCGGCCCGCCGUUGAAACUGGCAGUCUCGAGUUGGAGAGAAGUAUGCGGAAUGCGCGGUGUAGCGGUGAAAUGCAUAGAGAUCGCGCAGAACUCCGAUUGCGAAGGCAGCAUGCCGGCUCCACACUGACGCUGAGGCACGAAAGCGUGGGUAUCGAACAGGAUUAGAUACCCGUGUAGUC
rnacentral:rRNA from 1 species